rnacentral:tRNA from 2 species
GUUAAUGUAGCUUAUAAUAAAGCAAAGCACUGAAAA